rnacentral:rRNA from 1 species
UACGUAGGGGGCGAGCGUUGUCCGGAAUUAUUGGGCGUAAAGAGCGUGUAGGCUGUUCGGUAAGUCUGCCGUGAAAACCUGAGGCUCAACCUCGGGCGUGCGGUGGAUACUGCCGGGCUAGAGUCCGGAAGAGGCGAGUGGAAUUCCUGGUGUAGCGGUGAAAUGCGCAGAUAUCAGGAGGAACACCAAUGGCGAAGGCAGCUCGCUGGGACGGUACUGACGCUGAGACGCGAAAGCGUGGGGAGCAAACAGG